CAGAACGUACGCUGGCGGCACGCCUAACACAUGCAAGUCGAACGAAGUAGCAAUACUUAGUGGCAGACGGGUGAGUAACAUGUGGGUAUCUACCCUUUGGCCUGGAAUAACACGAGGAAACUUGUGCUAAUACCGGAUAAGUCUUUACGGAGAAAGCUUUAUGCACCAUUGGAUGAGCCCGCACUUGAUUAGUUUGUUGGUAGGGUAAUGGCCUACCAAGACUAUGAUCAAUAGCUGAUUUGAGAGGAUGAUCAGCCACAUUGGGACUGAGACACGGCCCAAACUCCUACGGGAGGCAGCAGUGGGGAAUCUUGCACAAUGGAGGAAACUCUGAUGCAGCGAUGCCGCGUGAGUGAAGAAGGCCUUUGGGUUGUAAAGCUCUUUCGUCGGGGAAGAAAAUGACUGUACCCGAAUAAGAAGGUCCGGCUAACUUCGUGCCAGCAGCCGCGGUAAUACGAAGGGACCUAGCGUAGUUCGGAAUUACUGGGCUUAAAGAGUUCGUAGGUGGUUGAAAAAGUUAGUGGUGAAAUCCCAGAGCUUAACUCUGGAACUGCCAUUAAAACUUUUCAGCUAGAGUAUGAUAGAGGAAAGCAGAAUUUCUAGUGUAGAGGUGAAAUUCGUAGAUAUUAGAAAGAAUACCAAUUGCGAAGGCAGCUUUCUGGAUCAUUACUGACACUGAGGAACGAAAGCAUGGGUAGCGAAGAGGAUUAGAUACCCUCGUAGUCCAUGCCGUAAACGAUGUGUGUUAGACGUUGGAAAUUUAUUUUCAGUGUCGCAGGAAAACCGAUAAACACACCGCCUGGGGAGUACGACCGCAAGGUUAAAACUCAAAUGAAUUGACGGGGACCCGCACAAGUAGUGGAGCAUGUGGGUUUAAUUCGAAGAUACGCGCAGAACCUUACCAACACUUGACAUGUUCGUC
rnacentral:rRNA from 1 species